GGGGCUGACCGGUUUUGACAGCAAGGACAGUGGGAUUGUAAGCAUGCCGGGACUUUGAGUGAAUGGCCCGCUAAAACCAAAUACUCACGCCAACUAAAUGGCAACAAUUACGAUUACGCAUUAGCCGCUUAAUCACAGUAUUAACCUGCUAAUUGUCCUCCGGGAAGCCUCGCCAUCCGGCGUUCCGAUUUAGGGCAUCGAAAAGGGAAGGAUAAGGUUGCCGGAGUCCUGACGGCAGCUCGAAAACCAAAGGGAAUAAGGCAAGGAUUGGGUGGCUUUUUGCCGGUUCCUGCCCGACAAUCAACUGAAAGCUAAGCAUGUAGAAAGCGGUUUUGCUGCUUGUUUGGACCCGGGUUCGACUCCCGGCAGCUCCACAA
rnacentral:tmRNA from 1 species